rfam:Giardia lamblia ATCC 50803 SC_611 genomic scaffold, whole genome shotgun sequence.
GCACGUUUGGCCGAGUGGUUAAGGCGUGAGAUUUAGGCUCUCAUGGGGGCGACCCCGCGUGGGUUCGAACCCCACAGCGUGCA